rnacentral:rRNA from 1 species
UACGUAGGGGGCUAGCGUUGUCCGGAAUCAUUGGGCGUAAAGAGCGCGUAGGCGGCCCGGUAAGUCCGCUGUAAAAGUCCAGGGCUCAACCCUGGAAAGCCGGUGGAUACUGUCGGGCUCGAGUCCGGAAGAGGCGAGUGGAAUUCCCGGUGUAGCGGUGAAAUGCGCAGAUAUCGGGAGGAACACCUAUGGCGAAGGCAGCUCGCUGGGACGUUACUGACGCUGAGACGCGAAAGCGUGGGGAGCAAACAGG